AGCACGUUAUGGUGGGCGACUCUAAGGAGACUGCCGGUGACAACCGGAGGAAGGUGGGGAUGACGUCAAGUCAUCAUGGCCCUUACGGCCUGGGCUACACACGUGCUACAAUGGUCGGGUACAAAGGGUUGCCAAGCCGCGAGGUGGAGCUAAUCCCAUAAAACCGAUCGUAGUCCGGAUCGCAGUCUGCAACUCGACUGCGUGAAGUCGGAAUCGCUGGUAAUCGUGAAUCAGAAUGUCACGGUGAAUACGUUCCCGGGCCUU
rnacentral:rRNA from 1 species